AUGGCCGCGUCCUGCAUUCACCUUGUCUUUCUCCUUUCUCUUGUCCCAGCAGCCACCGUCGCCUCACCUCGUGGUAAUCUACGCAAGUCCCCGGUCGACAUCGCCACGGCCGCACCGUCUCCGGCAGACGCGUCGCGGCCGACCACCUUCUUCGAGGUGGACCGCCCGCUCCGCCCGCCACCGGGCAGCUCCGGCCCGUGCUCCACGCUCCUGCUAUCCAGCUCAUUCGCGUACACCUUCACCAAGCCGCCCGCCACCGCCGCGUACUCCCCGCCGCCCUGCCUCACCGCGGCCUCGGCGGUCUCCCUCGCCGUCCUCGAGUGGCACGCCACCUGCCGGGCGUCCAGUUCGACAGGAUCUUCGGCGUCUGGCUCGGCGGCGUCGAGCUCCUCCGCGGCAGCACCGCCGAGCCGCUGCAGAACGGCGUCGUCUGGUCCGUCUCCAAGGACGUCACCAGCUUCUGCUGAGGUGGCUGCGAACCGUGAACGCGAAUUGAUUGAGAAAAAGAUGAACUUGUGGGUGAAAGCCAUUGAUGCGUUCAAUGCAGAGUGUAGGGCCUUUUCACAUUAUUAUUUCAAUAAUGACCGUUCAGAAAAUUUUAUAAAAAAAAAAGAGAGGCAGAUGGAGAAGCUCAAGACGGCGGAAAAAAAUUGUAGGCGUGAUCUUGCAAUGCAAAUUGCAUUGUGUGUGACAAGGGGAGAAUAUGCUGAGAUAGACAUGAGAAAUCAUGGUCAGGUCAUUGAUUGGUUAGUUCACCAACCAUUCUCGUUGGACGAGAAGCGGGCUUCUCGUUGGGCAUGGGUCAAAGAAAGAAAUGAUGUUAUUUGUUGCAACCCGGGACCAUAUGCCACAUAG
rnacentral:rRNA from 1 species